AGUAAAUCCAUAUACAAAUUUUGUCCUAAAUUUAUGGUAUCUCACAAUCAAAACAGGAAAUUUUAUCAUAAAAAGCCUAAAAUAAGACAGUAAUUAACUAUAAGAGUACCCUGGUUUAUUUAGGCAUUCAAUAACAGUGCAAAAACAUUUGAAAAAAACGUUUAUAUAUUUGUACAGCCCGUAACAUCGGUAUGAACCUAAUGAAAACUGAUCAGUGAAGCAUAACAAAUUAAAUCUUGUACCUCACUUUCUGCAUGUUCACCUGUUUUUUAUUUGUUCAGAAUAUGAAGAAAAAUAUCCGAUUUUUAAAUUGGGUAGGUAAUAUUUAUCAUUUUUGAAUCCAGUUCAAUUAAUUGUAAAAUGGUUUACAUGUAGUAUGGAAAGUUAUAAAAAUGUUUCAGUUCGUCGAAUGCUGGAUUUAGAAUUUUCUUUGCGAUACUUUUAAGUACACAGUUGUACCUGGUGUGAAAUCAAUGCGUGCUCGUGAUAAACUGUUAAUUCAAGCAGUUCCAUGAUGAGACACUAUUACAAUGUACUGCUUGUUCUUUUUCUCUCCUGCCAUCUCUGCAGGUGUAGUAACUCAACAAAGACGAUGCAUAAUCAAACUCUAGAAGAAAUUAAAACUCACGGUGGUACGAAACACUCAGAUCCGCAUUCUAAGAAAAAACAUAAAAAAGUAAAAUAUAACCUUUCAAAUGUUUUUAACCAAUUGCAACCAGAUACAUAUGAACCUUCGCAAAACACUUCAGCAAAUAGAAACACGACAAAGAAAUUUGAUAUUUUACAACAGGUUUAUAGUCGAUUAGCUGCUAAUAGAGGAAGGCCAAGUAAUGACAUAAUUAAUCUUCCAGGUGCUAUUCAUGUGUACGGACCACCUCCCAAACACAAAAUGGGAGCACCACAGCUACCCGAAGCUGCGGAGCCAUUUCGUGUUGUGGCAACGCCACACUUAAACAAAAUCAACCCCUUUAAUAGCGCAGGUAGUUUUAUGCAACAGAGGUUUAAUUAUCACAGAAAAAUGCCUUUUCAUUACUUUCAAAAUAGAAGACCUUACGUUUUUAACACAAGACCGGAACAUAUGUAUAUGCCAUAUACGCAUCAUUAUCACAGGGAAGAGUUUCAUCCGUUUAUGUCAUCAAGAGGAACGUCAAAUAUACCAGAAAACAGAAUUUUUCACGAAAUGCAGCAGCCAGAUCAAACUUUUAAUAACAAUAUGAUAAGUCCAAUACAAACACCAGUAUAUAAUAGGGCAAUGAAUGAAGGCGUUCAAAAUUUUAUAGGAAGGCAGGAUUUGAAAGACAUUUCUGAAUUUGAUGGUCACAGAGAACCUCAUGAAUUCACAGAGGGUCCGAGUAUGAUACAAGGAGGUUUAAUGGGCAGAGAAAUAAGUCCUAUGGUAGUUACAGGGCCAACCGAAAGAAAUAUAAAUUUGCACGAACCUAAUAUUAUACCUAUACAGCAACAGAUAUAUAAUCCAGGUCCGGAACAUCACCGAUUUGAGCCCGGACAAGAAUUAACUGUUGGUCCUCAGCAAGAAUUCACCAGUAAAACAACGGACCAUUUUUAUCCUAAACCGAAAACAUACGAGAUGCAAAAUCCAGGUGUUAUAACAAGCCCUGAGGAAGAAAAUCAAUUUGUUCCGUCUUCGUCUAAAGAUAUACAAGGUAACAUUGAUGUUCAAAGUCAAACUGGCCAAAGUAACGAUAUAAUAUAUCAAGAUGGGAUUGAUCAACAGCCAGUACAACACGUGUUUCAUAACCAUCAUCAAGUCACCAAGCACCAUCACUAUUUAAAAGCACGCUGCUACCCAAACCCCUGCAGAAACUCUGGAACAUGCACUGCACUUGAGCAUGGGUAUGAAUGUACGUGCAGUAUUGGUUUCAAAGGUGUUCACUGUGAAGAAAUUAAUCCUUGUCAACCGAAUCCAUGCAAAAAUGGCGGAUAUUGUUAUGAGACAGGAGAAGGGUAUAAAUGCACUUGCAUAAAAGGAUAUAAAGGAGAAUAUUGCGAAUUUCUUGACAGAUGUCAUCCCAGUCCAUGUCACAACGGUGGCAAGUGUGUUGAAGUUGAGGAUGAUUUUCACUGCUCAUGUCCAGCUUCUUUCAGAGGACGAUAUUGUGAAGGUAUGGAUUAUUGCUCAGGCAAACCUUGUAAGAAUGGGGGCAGCUGCAUCAACGUGGAUGACAAGUAUGAAUGUGUGUGUGGAGAAAAUGCAAAAGGUGAAAAUUGUGAAGAUGUUGAUCAUUGUCAUAGUUCACCUUGUCAAAAUGGUGGACAGUGCACUGGUUCAUCUACUGGAUUUACUUGCUCUUGUCCAGAAAGAUAUUUGGGACCAACAUGCCAUGAGCAUGAAAGUUAUUGCGAACCAAGUCCUUGUAACAACAAUGGAAAGUGUAUAGAAACUGAGUAUGGUUACAAAUGCAGCUGCCCAGUCGGUUUCCAUGGUGACACAUGUGCAGAGAUGAGUCACUGUGCUUCGAAUCCGUGUUUAAACAAUGGGGCGUGUAUUGAUACAAAACAUGGCUUUCAAUGUGUCUGUUCACAUAACUAUUUUGGUGAAAAGUGUGAAAAUCCACACCAUUCCUGUUCUCAUUGUGAUCCAAACGCAGCAUGCAUUAAGGAGAACUGUGUUUGUUUGUCGGGUUAUGUUGGAAAUGGUCGUGUUUGUGAAGCCACGUCACAAUGUCAUCCAAACCCGUGCGAGAACGGUGGCACGUGUCAUGAUCGUGACAUUGGUUUUGUUUGUAACUGCGCUGGAGGUUUUGUUGGACACAAGUGCGAAGAGAUGAAUCCAUGCUUCUAUAGUCCAUGUAAAAAUGAUGGUCGUUGUAAUUACAUUGGAGGAGGAGAAUAUGAUUGCGCAUGCUCUGGCUCCUUUACAGGCCGUCAUUGUGAAGAUCACAAUCCAUGCUAUCCCAACCCGUGUCGUUAUGGUGGAGCAUGCCAUGUUCAUGAGAACACUUUUCAAUGUGGGUGCAAGAAUAGAUAUAAAGGCGAUUAUUGUGAAGUAGACCGUUGCGCGUCAUGCGAUGACCACGCAUAUUGCGAUGAUGGUGCGUGUCAUUGUCACACGGGAUACAUUGGAAAUGGAUUAUUAGGCGAUUGUCACAUUUCUGAAGUCACAUCGACCACAGUUAUAUCACACGCGCCAUGCAUACAAAACCCGUGUCACAACGGUGGGACAUGUGUCGACCAAGCAGAUGACAAGUACAAAUGCGUGUGUAAGAUUGGUUACGAAGGGAAAAAUUGCGAAGAAAAAGAACAGAAAGGUGCGGCUGAUCCUUGUUCAUCCAACCCAUGUCAAAAUGGCGCCACUUGUAUAAACGAAGGAGACAGCGUAACAUGUAAAUGCACAGAUGGAUAUUUUGGUAGAUAUUGUGAGAACGGCGGACGACCUGUUCAAUCUGCUCCACCCAUGUCCGCACCCACGGAUGCUAUGACAACAUUGAAAACGAAUCCUUGUCACCCUAAUCCCUGUCAAAACGGAGGCACAUGUCAUGACUUCGACUCGGGAAGAAACUAUAAAUGCAUAUGCUCAGUUGGAUUUGACGGCUCACAUUGUCAAGAGGAUGUUUGUUCAGAAUGUGAUGUACAUGCCUAUUGUCUCCAUGGGAAAUGCCAUUGUCGUCUUGGUUUCCAAGGUGACGGUUACGAGUGUCUGAUAGUAACCUGUGAUCAUUGUCACCCUCAUGCCACAUGUCUUAUCGGUGUAUGCACGUGCAAUAAUGGAUGGUCUGGCAACGGACAACACUGUUCAAGAAAAUCAAGUAAAGUACGACUCACUGGUCUUGCUGCUUCGAAUGCAUUGGGAGGAAAACUUCCCAUGUUUGUUAUCGGAAAAAGUGCUAACCUCGUUGCUUUAAGCACAUCAAAUCAUUGCCAUGUAAGUACACUAAUCAAGCAAAAAGUUGGAUGGAUAGUCAUAUUUUCACACGCUGGCUUACAGAACUGGACAGAAAAAUGAUCGAAGAAGAAAGGAAAAUUGCAAUAAUAGUUGAUAAUUGUCCUGCGCACCCUCAUGUCGAGGGACUCCAGGCACUAGAGUUGAUUUCCUUCCUCCUAAUACAACCUCUAAAUUACAGCCAAUGGACCAGGGAGUGAUUAGAUCGUUAAAGGCGAAAUAUAGGUGCGCUGUUAUUAAGUUAUACAUCAAUCGCAUUGAAAGUGGUCAAGAAUUACCAAAGAUAAGCAUUUUAGAUGCAAGCAUGGAACCGAGUUACCAAGGAUACAGUCCAAAAUUGUUUUAAACGUGGUGGAAUUUCCAAGUAUGCCUAAGCAGAUGCAAUAGAAGAAAUAGAUGAUCCGUUUAAAUCACUCCAAUCCGAUUAGGAUGAGCUGCGAUUACUUGACCAAUCAUUGGUUCCUGAUGAAGCAACUGCCGAACAUUAUACUGACACCGAUGAAAAUCUAGUUGUACCAGAGUCUGUACUGAUUGACGACAUAGAAAUUUUAGGUCAGUACAGGGAAACCCCAAACGUAGAUGACGAUACUAACGAUACUAACGAUGAUCUGAAAUAUACGUAGCUAUGGAAUUACUUCAGGAAUGCAGUCUUUUUGAGGAGGAAGAGGUAGCAUUCAAUAUGAGAAGGCAUCUGGAGCAGUUCAAUCUAGUAUGCGAUAAAUGUCAAGAAUCGAAAAAGCAACAAACAACCAUUGAAAAUUUCUUUCAUAGACUUUGAUUCUCUAUGUAACUGUUUAUGUAACUCUUUAUGAUUAUUAAACUAAGCAAUACUAAAAAAUCGUGAAUUUAUCAGAUUUAAACCCAUUUAUGAAAAGUUCGCUUUAACGAAAAAAAUCAUGUGAUGUUGGUUUUGCUGUUGAAAUAUGAUUUGCAACACUUUCUUUGGAAGCAAUGUUUGCAGCAGGUCUUGGUUUUUGAGUGUAGGGAAGUGUAGUUGAAAGGGAAGGGGAAUAUAUACAAUAUUUAAAUUGAAAGAUUAGUGUGAUAUAUGUACAUUAUAACUAUGUUUUACCUGGUUGCAGGCAAAGUUGUUUGUGGUAAAUUGAGGUGUGGUAUCGAACCAGGUAACAUUCUUUUCCUCUUUUCAUCUAUAGCAAAAGAAGUCAUCUAGAAUUGGUUCCUAGUAAGUUUAAUUUACUUUGAACAAUUUGUUGCUCAGAAAAAUGUUUUUCACAAAUUUAAGGGUGCAAUUUUCAAUUUGUGUCUUUAAAAGAUUGUCCACCACUGCAUCUUUUGCUUGUGAUAACAGCUACACGUUUUUCCCUCCAAGAGAAUCUAUAUACGUCAUUUCCUUUGGGUAAUCGUACAAUUUUUACGUCUGGAACUCGAGCAGCCAUAUAUAGAACAAUUUGCCCCAAGAACAACAUUGCAUUCAAUCUCAACGUUUAAAGUAUAGCACAGUAAUGACCCAGCCGGCACAAAGAGCUCUAAAAGACGUCUUUUAGACAUCUUCCGCAUUUCUAAAAGACGUAAUGUCAACAAACGAAUGUUGAAUUUUGCCGCUAAAAAGUUUUAUUUCGUACACGCUAAAAUAGACUGGGUAUGAGGAAAUUCUGGAACACAACCUCGAUACGGGGAGCGAAGCGUGCUUGCUGCAAUGCCCAGACUAUCUCUCUUUCUUAUGACUAUGGUUUAAACAUCGGGUACGCGUAACCGGCCCCUAAGAAAUAUCAAUCAUGGAAUUGAGGUAAAAAAAAACACUCACCACGUCUGCGCGAUUUUAUCUAAGAUUUAUUCAAACCUAAUGCGACCUAACCUAAGAUUCUCCACACACCUCCCUAUAUUAAUACUAGCUGUAUUCUGUCUGUCUGCAAAAACAGACGUCGUGUUACUGAAACUGACUCCACCGUACAUUUAUUGAAUUCACUUUUCUUGCUUAAUUGGGACCUAAUAAAGAUUUGGGUUGCUCUUAGUGUCAAAUUUUUCUCACAAAAAAUUUAGUUUAAAUCUUUAUUAUCACAUUCAAAACAGUUUUUGAGUUGCAAAAAUACUUUUGUGAAUUCAAGCGUUAAGAAUGCAUCAUACAGAACACGAGUUUAAAAACACGCCAAGCGCAUGGGCAACAUGAGGCUAAAAUAACUGAGACCGUCUUUCACUGAUAAUGUUUGCGGACUGUAUUGCUACGUUCUUCACAGUGCUCGUUAUUUUCCCACAAACUUAUGUGUUUCACAGAGGGAGACUUUCCAAUUGGCUAAAAGGAUCGAAUAAUACAGCAAUAGCAUGUCAGGAUGAACCAAUCAACAUCAUAUGUAACGAUUACGAAGGCAUUCGGGUGAGCGAUGCGUUCUGGGGACGUGAUAAUAAAAUAGAUUGCCAAGUUGACGAUCCUUUGUCAUCGCAAAGUGACAAAGAAAUGUGUUCUCCGUUUGAUCAUGAUUAUGCAUACAGAAAAGUCUCUGAAGUGUGUCAAGGUUAUCAAGAAUGUUCACUAGUGGGUUCAUCUUUGUACUUUGAUACAGAGCUCUGUCCACACGUCAAAAAAUACGCACGCAUUAAAUACGAAUGCAGAGAAAUGAGUGGUAUGCGCAGAUCAAUGGUCUUAAAACGUUUUAAACACAAAAAAACAGUUUCUUGAGGACAGAUUUGACGCGGUUGGAUUAUCUGGAUUUUAAAAACAUACUUCAGUUGUUACAUUGUUGUAUUAUCUUACGCCAUCGCUAGAUGGAAAAAAAGUAACUACAGAAAAGCGCCA